rnacentral:rRNA from 1 species
AAAGUGCGAUAAUUAUUGCGACUUGCAUUCAUAGUGAAUCAUCGAGUUCUUGAACGCAUCUUGCGCCUAGUAGUCAAUCUACUAGGCACAGUUGUUUCAGUAUCUGCAUCCACCAAUCAACUUAACCUUUUGUGUUGAGUUGGAACUGGGCUUCUAGUU